CUACUGGUGAUCCGAUGGAUAAAUCUGUUGUAGAGUUGUCACUGGCUCAGACGUACUUAUAAAUAUAAUUAUUUUCUGUGACUGUAUCUUACAUUAAUUUGUAGGAUCCUUUACUAUAGAUAAUUUAGCUGAUCUGUAAAAAUAACAUCUCCAUGCCUUAUAUAUCAUGUAUUGUAGUACAACGCUAGAUUAAAACUGACGUGGAAAGGUAACACCCGGCCAC
rnacentral:lncRNA from 1 species